rnacentral:miRNA from 2 species
GUUUUUUUUUUUUCUUUUUC